rnacentral:tRNA from 1 species
GGGAGUGUGGUGUAAUGGCUAGCAUACUAGAUUUGGAUUCUAGGGGAGAGGUUCGAAUCCUACAUUUCCA